AAGAUUCAAUGCCCUUCAUCGAUCAUUAUCAAUUGAUUUGUUUUUCUAUCAUGAAUGAAUGCUAAUUUCAUUUUUUUUUUUCAUGCCACCCAAAAAUUUUACAAAGGUUUAUAUUUUUUAUUUUUUGUCCUCAUUUGCACCAAAGCAUCUUUAAAUAGAAUAUAUCUGUACUUGUGAUGGUAAGAAAACCAGAGAUUUCUGACAAUGAACCUAGAUAGGUACAAUCUUACAUUUAGACAGCUACUGCUUCUGACAAUGAAGACUCUGCAGUGUUAUUGCUCACCAAAGUAUUCUUUAGCUUUAAAAUUGUUGGGAAUUUGGUUUCGUGAUAUUCUUCAUGAAUACUUGCAUUUUUUUUAACAUUUUCUUUAAUUUAAUUACUUCUGUGUGCUUUGUGUUUAGAAUCCCCCCCCCCCCCCCCCCAAAAAAAAAAAAAACAACUUUAUAAUAUAUCUAGAAUAACGUUUUUAACCAAUACCUGUAAUAUGAGAUUUUGAAGGAGUUCCCAAUCAUCAAUAUGCAUUAUCACAAUGAAAUUUUUUCUUUUUUAAAAGCAUGUUCUUGUGCAUUAGGUUUAUCUUUAUCCAAUGGUGCUCUGUUUAGGUAGAUUCUGAACCUCUUUUGUCUUUGACAUAUAUCAGAAAGUUAAACACAUUGAACUGGAUGUUUUUUUAGUACAAAGAAAUGUGUUCAUCUAACAUCAGAAAAAAGGUAAGCUCAGCAGGUCAUUAAAAUGUGUUCAUCAAAUAAAUUAUAAAUGUAGGUAUAUGGAUGAAUAAAAUGAAAUUACUUGGAUAAUAGCUUUCUUGUGUAUAUGUUUUUCAAGUCAAAUGACAUGGUAUGCAAUAAGCAAGUUUUUAUCAUGGUUAGAAUUACUUUAUUUCAAAUGGAAAAUCAUGUAUAGUUUACAUGUCAUGCUCUUUACAUAGUUUGAUAUAUAUUUAAACCAUGACUUGUACGACUUGUCAUUAGUGUAAAUGUUUGAAAUGAGGUGGGUUUUUUUUUUUUUUUGUUGAGUGAAAUAGGAAUGUUACAGAAUUUUUAAAAAGUUUAUCACUGUUUUAUGUGUUGCAUAGCAAAUGAUUUUAAAUGAAAUAAAAUGAUACCUAUUGGUAUUCAACUGUC
rnacentral:misc_RNA from 1 species